GCCCCCCUGAAGCCCAGCCCCUUGCCCACAUUCUGUCUGGCCUUCUUCCUCUCCAGAACCAGGCUCUUUUACCAAGGAGCAAGCCCAAAGUGGUGCCCCAGGCAGAGAAGCCAGGUGGGCUGAGGGCUGCAUGUGUACCUGCAGAGAUACAGAACACCCUGUUCCAGCAGAAGGUGCUCCAAGCCUGAGCCAGGAAAGGAGUACAGUGGUCAGCUCCCUUCAACACCCCACGGGCAUCUCAAAUUCAUCUCAAAUUCGGCAGGUCAAAAACUGACCUCCAUAUUGACAUAAUCCAAAAGGAGACAGGAACGGAGACAGAGGAGUAAAAACCAGAGGGAUGACAGAAGACACGGAAUGGCAGACCAAAAUGCAACUGUAACAAUUACUACAUUAAACAUAAAUGGUCUAAAGACACCACCUAAAAGAAAAGCAAAAUCAGGCUGGAUAAGAAACAAGACCCGACUUGCAUGUGGUCCACAAGCCCCAUUUUAAAUACAGUGACGGAACCAGGUUAAGAGUAAAGAAAUGGGGGAAUCAAAGGCUAACCCAAAGAAAGCUGAGCUGCAGUGGGUGUAUUAGCAUCAGACAGAGGAGACUUCAGAAAAAGGAAUAUCGUCAGGAAGAAACAGCACAUGGUAAAAGGAUCGACUGACCGAGAAGACAUCACGGUCCUCAGCAUGCAUAAGAGAGAAGACCAACACCACCAUCAACCAAAUUAACCCAACUGACACGUUUUUGUCUUUUUUUUUCCCCCCUGACAUUUAGGCAACACUAGACCCAGCAGCGGGAGAACACAUAUGCAAGUCCACGUGGAACAUCGCCAAAUCUUGGCCAUAAAAUAAAUCUGAACAAAUUCAAAAGUACUGAGAUCACACAAAGUAUGUUCUCAGGCCCUAAUGGAAUUAAACCAGAAACUAGUAACAGAAAAACGUCCAGAAGAAUCUCUAGUUACUUGGAAAUUAACACGUCUAAAUAUCCUGUGGUCAAAGAGCAAGUCUGAAGGGAAAUCAGAAGAUAUUUUGAACCAAAUAAAAUCAUAUAUCAAAUUUACAGAGUACAGCUGAAACAGUGUUUAGAUAGAAAUUAACAGUUAUUACUAAAUGCUUACGUUACAAAAGAUCUCAAAUCAAUAAACCUAAGUUCCUAAUUCAAGAGAGCAAAUUAAGUCCAAAGCAAGCAAAGGAAAUAAUAAAAGUAAGACCAUAAACAAAAGGAAGCGAAAGCAGACAAAAGCCAAUGACGUUAAAAGCUAGUUGUUUCUAUGGCCAAUAAAACAAAUCAAUCAAUCUCCACAUUCACUGAGAAAAAAGACACAAGUUACCACCACCAGGAGUAAAAGAAAGGACACAUCACUACAGACCCCACAGACGUUACAAGGAUAACAAAGGCACACAGUAAACAAACCAAUGCCCAUAAAUUCCACAAUUCAGGGAAAGGAGCAAUGUGUCCAAAGGCACAAAUCCCCAAAACUCAGCCAAGAAGAAACUGAUAAGCUGACUAGUCCCCUAGCUACAAAAAUAACUGGGUUCACUGUUAAAAACCUAACAACGAAAACUCCAGGCCUGGACGCUUUUGCUGGGGAGUUCUACUUAAUAUUUAAGAAUGAACACCAACUCUACACAUCUACUCCGAAAAUAAGAGAGAGCACCUCCCAACUCAUUUUUGAGGCCAGUGUUAUACUGACACCAAAUCCAGACAGAGAGUACGAGAAAAUCUGAGGGAGGGCGGGCAAAACCCGAGUAUUCCCACCACCACCUCUGGACAAUGCUGCCGUCAACCCAGCUGCCAGAGUCCACAUGCCUCUGUCCUCUGGCUUCCAGGCACCACAGCCUGUCCCUUUGGCUUCCCACCUCCACAGCCACCCGGGCCUCUCUUGCCUGCAGAACCACAAAACCUCCCAGGGUGUCCUUUCUCCCAUUACUGCCUCCCACUGACCCAUUCUCCACAUGGACCAGGAUCUGACCACUUCUAGCUCCAACACUUCCUGACUCCCCUUCACUUGCUCAGGGGAUAAAACCAGAAGCCUCAACAAAGCUGGCCAACCUCAGCCACUCCUCUUCCCGACCCAGUCUCUGUUCCUCAGUGGAGCCGACCUCGUCCUAAUUCCCACUGGUUUCUAGAACGCUUCUGCUGGGCUCCAUGGCUUUGUCCCCGCUGUUCCUGACCCUUGGAACCGUAACCCGACUGCUGCCGAGUUGCUGCAAGACUGCUGCUCUUGCACAGCGGUCACCCCUCCUCUGGGAAGCCUUCCUUCUACCUUGCGGGAGAGGCGUGCCUUCCCCCCCGUCCUCCACUGUCCCCAUUGUCCGGGGAGGGGUAGGCACUCCUCAGGGCAGUGGCUGGUGUGGCAAGGGUGAAGACAGAAGGCAGGCAGAUCAGACAGCAGAAUCUCUGCCAAGGUGCAGCGCCCCCAGAUCAAAUCAGGAAAACAUCCCCAAAGCCUGGAGAUGCCAAGGUCUGUGCCAGAUGGUGCCCGAGAUCGAGAGGCUAGCUGCACGGACUGCUGAGCAAGGCCCCCCAGAGCCCAGGGUUCGCAAAAAGGGCCUCAUCUGUCCCCCUAGUCUCCCCAAGAGGCGGGAGAGACAAGGACCACCCAGCUCCCAUCCCGCUGGAUGACGAGAGCCCAGUCUCCGCAUCACCGGGACUUGCCCCCAAGGCUCAGAGGCCCAGAUCCAGCACCUGGCCCACCACACAAGCACCUAGGACGUGGGGCACUGGGCUCGAAGGGGUCUGAAGGCACUACAGCCCACCUGCUGGCUGCGGCUGUGCUGCUGGCCUUCUUGGCGGGAGGCUUCUUCGGUUGGGCCUGCUUGGCAGGUGGGGCCACCUUGGCCUUCUUGUCGUCCUCGGACUUCGCCUUGUGCCUCUCCUUGUCCUUGUCCUUGUCCUUGUCCUUCUUUUUCUUCUCCUUCUCCUUCUUCUCCUUCUUCCUCUUUGGCUUAUUCACUGGGGCCUGCGACAGGGCGGCCAGCUGCUCGUGCACGGCCUUCAGCUGGAAGAUAGCAGGUGGCUGAGCAAGGCUGCCCUGGGGCUGGCCCAAGGGGACCACAGGUGGUGGCGGGGGCUUUGGGGUGCCCUUGGAGCUACCUCAACCUUGCGGGGAGGUGAGCCAGGGCCACCGGGGCCACACCCUGCUGUGGAAAGGCAGGCAGGUCCCAGAGCAGGUGGCAUCGAGCUCCACUCUGCCCUCACUGCCCCGUGACAGCUGGAGGAGAGCUGCCUUGCCGUCCUCACCGGAAACGAGGCUCACGGGUGGCCAGGAGGCCAGCAGGUGAGCCUGGUGACACGUGCAGACCAGGACGGGCGCAUAGUAACAACCUGAUAAAUCGUAGCCAAGGGUGCCUGGGGGGCUCAGUCGGUUAAGCCUCCGACUUCGGCUCAGGUCACGAUCUCACGGUUCACGAGUUCGAGCCCCGCGUCGGGCUCUGGGCGGACGGCUCGGAGCCUGGAGCCCGCUUCCGAUUCUGUGCCCCUCCCCUGCUCGCUCGCGCUCUCUCUCUCUCUCUCUCUCUCUCUCUCUCUCUCUC